rnacentral:rRNA from 1 species
GAUGAACGCUGGCGGCGUGCCUAAUACAUGCAAGUCGAGCGAAUGGAUUAAGAGCUUGCUCUUAUGAAGUUAGCGGCGGACGGGUGAGUAACACGUGGGUAACCUGCCCAUAAGACUGGGAUAACUCCGGGAAACCGGGGCUAAUACCGGAUAACAUUUUGAACCGCAUGGUUCGAAAUUGAAAGGCGGCUUCGGCUGUCACUUAUGGAUGGACCCGCGUCGCAUUAGCUAGUUGGGGAGGUAACGGCUCACCAAGGCAACGAUGCGUAGCCGACCUGGUAGGAGGAUCGGCCACACUGGGACUGAGACACGGCCCAGACUCCUACGGGAGGCAGCAGUAGGGAAUCUUCCGCAAUGGACGAAAGUCUGACGGAGCAAGGCCGCGUGAGUGAUGAAGGCUUUCGGGUCGUAAAACUCUGUUGUUAGGGAAGAACAAGUGCUAGUUGAAUAAGCUGGCACCUUGACGGUACCUAACCAGAAAGCCACGGCUAACUACGUGCCAGCAGCCGCCGUAA